rnacentral:rRNA from 1 species
GUAGGUGGCAAGCGUUGUCCGGAAUUAUUGGGCGUAAAGCGCGCGCAGGCGGUUCCUUAAGUCUGAUGUGAAAGCCACCGGCUCAACCGGGGAGGGUCAUUGGAAACUGGGGAACUUGAGUGCAGAAGAGGAGAGCGGAAUUCCACGUGUAGCGGUGAAAUGCGUAGAGAUGUGGAGGAACACCAGUGGCGAAGGCGGCUCUCUGGUCUGUAACUGACGCUGAGGCGCGAAAGCGUGGGGAGCGAACAGGAUUAGAUACCCUGGUAGUCCACGCCGUAAACGAUGAGUGCUAAGUGUUAGAGGGUUUCCGCCCUUUAGUGCUGCAGCAAACGCAUUAAGCACUCCGCCUGGGGAGUACGGCCGCAAGGCUG